ACGGCUCAGUAACACGUGGAUAACCUGCCCUUGGGACCGGGAUAACCCCGGGAAACUGGGGAUAAACCCGGAUAGGUGAAGAUGCCUGGAAUGGUGCUUCACCCAAACACCUCCGGGUGCCCAAGGAUGGGUCUGCGGCCGAUUAGGUAGUUGGUAGGGUAACGGCCUACCAAGCCCAUCAUCGGUACGGGUUGUGAGAGCAAGAGCCCGGAGAUGGAACCUGAGACAAGGUUCCAGGCCCUGCGGGGCGCAGCAGGCGCGAAACCUCCGCAAUGCACGCAAGUGCGACGGGGGAACCCCAAGUGCCACUCUUAACGGGGUGGCUUUUCAGAAGUGUAAAAAGCUUCUGGAAUAAGGGCUGGGCAAGACCGGUGCCAGCCGCCGCGGUAACACCGGCAGCUCAAGUGGUAGCCGCUUUUAUUGGGCCUAAAGCGUCCGUAGCCGGUCUGAUAAGUCUCUGGUGAAAUCCCACAGCUUAACUGUGGGAAUUGCUGGAGAUACUAUCAUGACUCGAGGUCGGGAGAGGCUGGAGGUACUCCCAGGGUAGGGGUGAAAUCCUGUAAUCCUGGGAGGACCACCUGUGGCGAAGGCGUCCAGCUGGAACGAACCUGACGGUGAGGGACGAAAGCCAGGGGCGCGAACCGGAUUAGAUACCCGGGUAGUCCUGGCCGUAAACGAUGUGGACUUGGUGUUGGGAUGGCUUCGAGCUGCCCCAGUGCCGAAGGGAAGCUGUUAAGUCCACCGCCUGGGAAGUACGGCCGCAAGGCUGAAACUUAAAGGAAUUGGCGGGGGAG
rnacentral:rRNA from 1 species